UAAGUGAAUAGUGAAAUCUGGCGGCUCAACCGUACAGACUAUUAUUCAAACUGGCAAACUCGAGAAUAGCAGAGGUAACUGGAAUUUCUGAAGUAGGGGUAAUAUCCGUAGAUAUCAGAAGGAACACCAAUGGCGUAGGCAGGUUACUGGGCUAUUUCUGACACUGAGGCACGAAAGCGUGGGGAGCGAACCGGAUUAGAUACCCGGGUAGUCCACGCCGUAAACGAUGGAUACUA
rnacentral:rRNA from 1 species